GCGGGAGUGGCGGAACUGGCAGACGCACCAGAUUUAGGUUCUGGCGGGUAACACCGUGGGGGUUCAAGUCCCUUCUCCCGCACCA
rnacentral:tRNA from 1 species